UUGAAACCUUGAAACAAAGACUUUGUAGACAGGUUCAGACAGAAGUCUAAUCUGUUUUUCUCUACCUUUGAUGUAGGAGUGAACAGAAGGCUAAUUUGCCCAUUCUAAAGAAGGAUAGAAGAGAAAAAAAAGCAAUCUUGUGUUUACAUAGCACCUGUAAAGGCACUGAAGUAUAUUGAUAUGUAGACACUGCUGGAAUCAAGUAAAUGUGAAGAGGCAUCCUAGUUCAAGGAAAGUAUGAGGCAGAUGCUAUGUACUCAGCCUGGUAAGCACUUUACCAAGGCUCUGGAGGUGCUCUUCAUCAUUCUUGCCAGUCACGAUGAUGUUAUCAAGGUAACAUUGUGUUCCUGAGAUACCUUGGAGCACCUGGUCCAUUACUGUUUGCCACAUUGCUGGAGCUAAUGCAAUGCCAAAGUUUGCCUUUCGGAGACACUUUUUCACCUGUGUAAGUCUUCAGUAUCGCUGAGGUCUUCUCUUAUGGAAUCUUAGAGAACAGCUGCAGUAGUCUGCUUCUGGAAUUAUGGACAAAGCUGACGCUGUAUCCAGCUCUAAUUUUAAUUUUACUCCAGACAUAUCUACUGUGAUGCAGAAUGAUUUUGUGAUCUGCUUCAGUUAUACGAUGCAGUUCUAAGCAUGACUGUUCACAUUUGUUGGACUCUAUGUCGUCUGAUUCUGAUACAUUCAUUAACUUUAUGCACUUCCUUGGUUUUGUGUUUGUUUGUGCUUUUUAUCUGCCUUGCACACACUUUCUAUGUGACCUCGUCUGUGAUACCUUUUGCAGACUUUUUUCUGUGAACCAACAGCCAUUCACACCAUGGGAGGAUUUGCCACAUCAAUAACAUUUUUGGCUUUUUGCACAAUUCACGGACAUUUUGUACAUUUCACAUUCUUACCUCCUUUUCUGCUGCAUUCCAUCCUUUGCUGCUGUCUUUAAUGAUAUUGUAAUAGUCUAUGCCCGCUUGAAGGUUAGGUCUCCUUCUGCCAGUAGUCUCGUUUGUGUGCUUUGACUAUGCAUGGCAUGGGCAAGCCUGUCUCUUACUGCAUCAGAAAGUCCAUCUCCAAGGUCACAGUACUGGGAAAGUUUGCACAGUUCUGCGAUGUAUUCAGAAAUGCUUUAAUCUUUUGACUGGCUCCUUUUGUAAAAUCGAAACCUCUCAGCUAUUAUCAGCAGCUUAGGAUUCAAGUGAUUUUAUAACAUUGUAACAAUUUCAUUGAAUGUCUUCCUUGCUGGCUUGCAGGGAUUACUAAGUUGCGUAAGUUGCAUUCAUUAGUUGUGUAUGUUCUUGAACCCAUUAAGCUAAGAAGCGUAGGGGCUUUCUUUUGUUCCUCCAUAUUGUUUGCAUUACAAUACAGUUCAACCCUCUUGAUAUAUGACUGCCAACCUUUGCUAGCACUAUCAAAUUCAUCACCUUCCUUAACUGAAGCCAUCGCUGCAUUAUUUUCACUUUAAAUUCAGCGUGUCUUUGUUUGUUACUCGUGUUCCUUUGUUAGCAUCCGUAACCACUUUCUUGUGCUAUUUAACUCUCACUGUUUUGCCCUGUAACUGUAAGUGCAGUUCAUUAUAUUUUCUGACAUUCAGGUUCAUACUCGUCGCCAAUUUGAUGUGUCGGUGCAUAUCAAUUAAUAAAAACACAUACCUAGGAGAUGGCUUUAACCGGUGUAUUCACAUUGCAACAUGAGAGAGAGAAAGAACAAUGUUCAUGUGUAGACAGCAGAUCCAUACAUAGCACUAAGGGGUUGGGGGGGGGGGGUCAUUGCUCUAAAAGAAAUACAUUACAGAGAGUAUUACCAGUGGUAGUGUUGAGGAAUACGAUGCAGAAGCGUGAGAUCACCAGCCUACUAGCCAAGUUUCAGUAGCCAUUUCCUGGAUGACAUUUGAACUCUUGUCAGAUCAAAAAGGGAAUUAGAUUUUGAAAAGAUUCUCUAGCAUGGCUCCCGUAUAUCUGCCCUUGGAACCUGUAUUGAGAUUUGAUGGAAUGCAGAAUCUACCAGUGCUUUGAUUUCAGUGGAGAUGGUAAGGGUAAGGCCAUAAGAUACACAACAGGGGCAGAAUUAGGCCAUUUUGCCCAUCAAGUUUGUUCUACCAUUCCACCAUGAUUGAUUUAUUAUCCCAUUCAAUGCAAUUCUCCUGUCUUCAUUGAUUCCCUGUGUAACCCAUGAAGCCCUGACAAAUGAAGAACCAAUCAACCUCUUACUCAAAUGUAUCCAAUGACUUAGCCUCCACAGCCACCUGUGGCAAUGACUUUCACAGUUCCACCAUCCUGUGGACAUAGAAAUUCCUUCUCAUCCCUGUUCUAAACAGACAUUCCUCUAUUCCAAGGCUGUACCCUUGCUUGUACAAGGCUGUACAAAUUGUACCCUGUACAAGGCUGUGAGUCUAGGACUCACCCACUAUAGGAAAAAUCCUCUCCACAUCCACGAUAUCAGGGCCUUUCAAUAUUCAGUAGGUUUCAAUGAGAUCCCCCCGAUUCUUCUGAACUCCAGUCCAGAGUCAUCAAACAGUCAUCAAACAUCAAACUGUGUUGGAUAUUUUCUACCUGACUAGUAGGCCUCUCACUUUCUUGGUUGUUUGCUAUUCUUGCUUUCCAAGCAGAGCAUCUGCCACUUGUACAAUCAAAACAGAUGUAAGUAAACUUCCAACUAACAGAUGCUUAACUUCUGGUUGUAAAUGGAAGUCAGUCUUCAGUUCUUGAGAUGUAUUGUUAAUGGCAAGUAGUAAUCUCCUUCAGGUUAAAAUAAGCAUUGUCUAAGGACCAGCUUUGCAAGUAAGCUUGUAGGAUAGUAGACGUCCUGUCUGGAAGAAAUAAGGUUUAGCUCAUUACAUCUGCUUUAUUACUACUCAAGAUGCAGUUUAAGACAAUGGGUUGUUUAACUCAGAUUGUUUUAAACAGACAAGCUGACUCUUGUUGCUUGUUUCAAGGAAGCUUGCAGGACAAACUAAUAAUUUGAUUUAGGAUAUCAAUAACUAUAAAUUGUUUCCGGUUGGAAAGUUUUAUGUGCUCAAGGAAGUAAGCUUCACAGCUUUACAGCAUUAAUGUUAGGCAGCUGAAGAACUAUAUCUCCAAAAUGUUUUUAGACUGUUUGCGUUGUAAGGACAUCUGAUGAAAUACCAUAUGUGUGUGAAGUCACCCAAGUGAUAGAGAGCAGUUGAGGUUUAUUAGGAGUGAUUGAAGAACAUCAAGAAGAGUGAUAUGAAGAUGGGGAGGAUAAAAUCCAUUUUCCUAGCUUCAGAUUCUGCAAUGGAUAACCUGCUCACCUGCAUGAUGGAAUGUCUUUUUACUUUAUAGGAAUUAUAUAUGUGCUUUUGAAAUCCCUUGUGUUUAAGAUAUAAUUUGUGUUUUAGAAACAGCUUGUAAUAGGGAAAUAAAUGUUCAAGAUAUAAAUACUCUGUGAGUUUUAAGUUUGUUUUAAGAAUAUUGUUUGGAUUUAA